rnacentral:rRNA from 1 species
GAUGAACGCUGGCGGCGUGCCUAAUACAUGCAAGUCGAGCGAACGGACGAGAAGCUUGCUUCUCUGAUGUUAGCGGCGGACGGGUGAGUAACACGUGGAUAACCUACCUAUAAGACUGGGAUAACUUCGGGAAACCGGAGCUAAUACCGGAUAAUAUUUUGAACCGCAUGGUUCAAAAGUGAAAGACGGUCUUGCUGUCACUUAUAGAAGGAUCCGCGCUGCAUUAGCUAGUUGGUAAGGUAACGGCUUACCAAGGCAACGAUGCAUAGCCGACCUGAGAGGGUGAUCGGCCACACUGGAACUGAGACACGGUCCAGACUCCUACGGGAGGCAGCAGUAGGGAAUCUUCCGCAAAGGGCGAAAGCCUGACGGAGCAACGCCGCGUGAGUGAUGAAGGUCUUCGGAUCGUAAAACUCUGUUAUUAGGGAAGAACAUAUGUGUAAGUAACUGUGCACAUCUUGACGGUACCUAAUCAGAAAGCCACGGCUAACUACGUG